GGUAUGGUCGGAUAUGCUGUUGUUGAUCUAUGGUUGGCUCACACCAAAAUAUCUAGCACCUUCUCUCCCAAUCGCCUGCCUCCUCUCUCACUCCUCUAUUCAUUCUCUCUUCUGCUCUUCGUGGGGAUUCUAGUGCGGCGGCAUCCUGGCGUGCGGGCCGUAGGUGGCGGUGGCUCGGGAGCAGGCAGCCCCCAACGCACAAAGAAUGCGGUGUGAGCAGGCCCAUGUGAAGGUUGAUCCAGAGCCUCCAUGACCGGAUCCAAGGCUUCCAUGGCUGGAACCGUCGUUCCCCCAUCCGAUCUGACCCGGUGGCGUCCAUUUGGGUGCCGCUCGCUAAGGUUUGGUGGCAGCCGCAUGCAGGAGCUGGGUUGUCCCCGGUGAGUGCCCAUGGCAGAUCCCACCGUGCUCUCCUCCAUGCGACCGGCACCGUCCGUGGCUGGGCCGCUGCAGCGACACGCUCCCCUUGCUGGACGACGACGUUUUUUCUGACCGACAGUGCCGCAGACUCGCUGCACAAGACUGACGGCUCAAAUUUGGUUACUGAGUUUUUUUUUUUCUGGUAUGCAUAUUUGGAUUGUUAAAAAAUGCAAGAAAAGUAUACCGUGGUACUGUACUUCA